rnacentral:rRNA from 1 species
CUAAGUUUGAUGGCGACCGGCGCACGGGUGAGUAACACGUAUCCAACCUGCCGAUGACUCGGGGAUAGCCUUUCGAAAGAAAGAUUAAUACCCGAUGGCAUAGUUCUUCCGCAUGGUAGAACUGUUAAAGAAUUUCGGUCAUCGAUGGGGAUGCGUUCCAUUAGGUUGUUGGCGGGGUAACGGCCCACCAAGCCUUCGAUGGAUAGGGGUUCUGAGAGGAAGGUCCCCCACAUUGGAACUGAGACACGGUCCAAACUCCUACGGGAGGCAGCAUG